GCCUCUGUGGCUCAGUCGGUUGAGCAUCUGACUCCAGCUCAGGUCACGAUCUCUCAGUGGGUGGGUUUGAGCCCCAUGUCAGGCU
rfam:Felis catus isolate Cinnamon breed Abyssinian chromosome B2, whole genome shotgun sequence.